CUGGUGGACCUUUAAGAAGCAGUGGAGCCGUCACUCAUCGCUCGAUGGUCGCACUUGUUGAAACCGAUGAGCUGAAGGAAUCAAGCCAAGAACCAAGUCUGGACUACAAAUGCAUUUCCUGCCAAGACCGAACAUCUCCGCCUGCCGCUCUCCUCCUCUCUCCAUCACUGAUCAUCAAGAAUGCUCCCGGAUCCUAGCGUUUUCCCUCCGUGCUACCACCUUCUGAAAGACAAACGUGAGCUGACCUGCCAACCCAUCCUCUGGAGCACAAUCAGACUGUACCGUUUGAAAUGCAUUAAACUUUC